UUUUGUUAAUAAAAGAUUUAUUCAUCUCCGUUCUUAGAUGAUGGAUUAUAAUAAUUGUUGUUGGUAUUUCAGGUCAAGAUGUAGUUUUUAUUAAAAAGAAUUAGCUACAUUUAUAUAGUAUUGGAUUAAUUGGGAAGAAGUUUUUUAGGAAAUUGAAUUUAGUUGUAAUAUUAAUUAGAAAGUUAAUGUGAAGGUUUAUUGGUUGAUGUA
rnacentral:rRNA from 1 species